CUCGGCAACACACUUCUUUCUUACUUUUAAAAAUUGAGUGAAGUGCAAAAAUCUUAAUUUGCUUCAUGAAUUUCAUAGUAGAAUUUUUUUCCAGCUUUAUGAGAUGUAAUUGACAAAUGAAAUUAUAAUAUAUUUAAAGUGUAUGACGUGGUGACUUGAGGGUAGUAAAAUGUGGAGCAGAAAAGAUGUCCCCAAAGCCUCAUGCAAAAGCCACCUCGUGUCAUAAAGCUCAGACAUAGAGAAAAUGAAACUAGAUAAGGUUUCAGGAUACAAAUAGAUGUGAGAAAACUUAAAAAAAAAUAAAUAAAUGAGCGAGGGAGUAAGAAGCUGAAUUCUGGGCCUGACUGGCGGUGUCAUGGUUAAGUUCGCACGCCCUGCCUCGGCAGCCCAGGGCUCACCAGUUCGGAUCCUAGACGUGGACCCACACACCGCCUGCCAAGCUGAGGCUGCGCGCCGCACAGAAGAACUAGAAGGACUUACAACUAGCGCUGAGCCCCGUGCAGUCAGUGUGCAGCAUCCUCACCGUCGUCUGCCCCCUCCAGUGGCCCUUGCCUUCAACAGUGCCUGGGACACAGCUGGCGCUCAAUGACGGCUGCAUGAGCGAAGUCUCUUUGCUCCAUGGCUGGACUAGGUGGUGCUGCUCGCAGGGUCCUGGGCGGGGCCUACCUCAGCGCCUUGCCGCCGUGCCACCGCCAAUGUGACCCCGCCAAUGUGAUCCCGCCGAUGUGACCCCGCCAAUGUGCCGCCCUGCUGUGUGACCCACUCGCUGCCACCGUGCCCCUACCGCCACGCAGUGCUUUCCUCUGUGCCGUCCACUUGGGAAAUGGCCCUGGUUUCCUUUGGUGGCAGUGGUACAAAGGGUCCUUUCAAAACAAAUUUGCUUAUGAAUUUUUUUUUUUUUUGAGGAAGA